rnacentral:rRNA from 1 species
AGGGAGGCGAACCCGGGGAACUGAAACAUCUAAGUACCCGGAGGAAAGGAAAUCAAUUGAUACUCCCCUAGUAGCGGCGAGCGAACGGGGACCAGCCGAGCCAUGAGUGUGGUUAGAAUGCGUUGGAAUGCGCAACCAGAGUGGGUGAUAGUCCCGUAUAAGAAGCAUGAUUGGACGUAUUAAGUAGGGCGGAACACGUGAAAUUCUGUCUGAAGAUCGGAGGACCACCUUCGAAGGCUAAGUACUCCUUACUGACCGAUAGUGAACCAGUACCGUGAGGGAAAGGUGAAAAGCACCCCGACGAGGGGAGUGAAAGAGACCCUGAAACCGAAUGCUUACAAUCAGUCGGAGCCCGCAAGGGUGACGGCGUACCUUUUGCAUAAUGGGUCAGCGAGUUGGUCUGUGCAGCGAGCUUAAGCCGGUAGGCGUAGGCGCAGCGAAAGCGAGUCUGAACAGGGCGUUCAGUUCGUCGGACUAGACCCGAAACCGAGUGAUCUAGCCAUGAGCAGGCUGAAGGUUGGGUAACACCAACUGAAGGGCCGAACCCGUAUCUGUUGCAAUAGAUUGGGAUGACUUGUGGCUAGGGGUGAAAGGCCAAUCAAACCGGGUGAUAGCUGGUUCUCCGCGAAAGCUAUUGAGGUAGCGCGUCGGGGGUUCGCUUCCGGGGGUAGAGCACUGGAUGGGCUAGGGGGCCGCGAGGCUUAC